GGGAACCCGCGCCCCCUGCCGGUGCCCUCCCCGCCCGGCCCUAGCUCUCUCGCCUUCUCGCCCGCCCGGCGCUGGCCCUGCUGGAUCCUGCGCGCCGGGGACUGGGGGCUGGCAGUGCAGACCGAACCCGGGGCCGAGGGGCUUCUCCACAGAGCCGCCUGGGGCUCGGUGGGGGGCGCUCAGCUCGACCCCAGCUAAGGGAGCACUAGGAAGUGCGGGCGUCCCCUUCCCUGCACCCUUGCGGGGCGGGAACCGUCGACCUAGAAGAAAAAAAAAGCUGAGGCAAACUUGAUAUAAGUAGAGAGGUUAUUUGGGCCAAGUUUGAAGAUUGCAACCCGGGAGCAUAGCUUCAAGUUGCCCUGAACAUAGGAUUUGCAACUUUCGCAGAGGUGAGGCCAGAGAAGUGACAAGACAGAUGCCAGUCCAGCAGGUGGGCAUGUCCAGAAAGUGCAGCCUCAGGACACGGUCUGGGAACAAAGACUGCUGGAGAGUUGGAAGCUGGCAAGAGGCUCUCAGCUGUGAAGUACCUGGGGUGGGGGAGAAGUGGUCGGAGAAAGCAGAGGUAAGGUCUGUGCGUGGGAACUGAACUGAAAUCCACAGCUCUAUUACAAGGAAUUAAUCUGGUUACUAGAACCAGGGUAGAUGAUCAGACCAGGCAGGGCCACCAGUACCAUCCACCCAUUUUUCCUGAGAAAAGAAAAAUAGGGUAGUCUGAGCUCUGUGAGGUGUGCAGAAUGAUCAGGCCCAGAGAGGCAGGAGUGUGGGACUUCAUUCAGCGCCUCUUCCACCAUAGAAGCAACUGUCCAGGGCAAUUGUUUGAUGGAAUUUUUGCUCCUGACAGGCUGCCUCACCCAUUAUCUUCUUGUUCACAUGGAAUUAGUGAUGCUAAGAACGA
rnacentral:lncRNA from 1 species